rnacentral:rRNA from 1 species
GGGGGGGGGGGGGGGGGGGGCGGGGGCGGGCAGGGCGAGCGAGCGGACGAGGAGCUUGCUCCUCUGACGGUAGCGGCGGACGGGUGAGUAACACGUGGAUGACCUGCCUAUAAGACUGGGAUAACUUCGGGAAACCGGAGCUAAUACCGGGGAAUAUAUUAACCCGCAUGGUUCAAUAGUGAAAGACGGUGUUGCUGUCACUUGUAGAUGUGUCCGAUCCGCAUUAGCUAGUUGGUAAGGUCACUGCUUACCAAGGCAACGAUGCGUAGCCGACCUGAGAGGGUGAUCGGCCACACUGGAACUGAGACACGGUCCAGACUCCUACGGGAGGCAGCAGUAGGGAAUCUUCCGCAAUGGGCGAAAGCCUGACGGAGCAACGCCGCGUGAGUGAUGAAGGUCUUCGGAUCGUAAAACUCUGUUAUUAGGGAAGAACAAAUGUGUAAGUAACUAUGCACGUCUUGACGGUACCUAAUCAGAAAGCCACGGCUAACUACGUG